rnacentral:rRNA from 1 species
GACAGAGGAUGCAAGCGUUAUCCGGAAUGAUUGGGCGUAAAGCGUCUGUAGGUGGCUUUUCAAGUCCGCCGUCAAAUCCCAGGGCUCAACCCUGGACAGGCGGUGGAAACUGCCAAGCUGGAGUACGGUAGGGGCAGAGGGAAUUUCCGGUGGAGCGGUGAAAUGCGUAGAGAUCGGAAAGAACACCAACGGCGAAAGCGCUCUGCUGGGCCGCCACUGACACUGAGAGACGAAAGCUAGGGGAGCGAAUGGG